GUAGUAUGUGCUGGAUAUAAAAUGUGCGUCUCUCUUAUAGUCCUUCAUCAUUCAUUCACUCACUCACUUUUCUAUAUUCUCUCUUUUUGGUUUUCCAGACUCAGUUAUUUGAAGCAAGUUCAAGAAUGAAUUGACCCGCCACCAGCUGACAAUAUUCUUCAUAUUUUUGGUACUCUAUUUUGCGAUGUCCACAUUUGAGGGGUGAAUAUUGUCUAAACAUGACUGCUCUUGGCAAGUGGAUAAUAUGUCAAACCUUUAUUGACUUUUUUUCUUUUAUAAGAUCAUAAUCCGUGUCCAAUGCCGGAUCCCUUGCCUUGAGUCUAUGAUAAUAUAAGCAGGAAUGAGAUGUUAUGGGUCCCACUUUUGGUCAAAUCUUUUUGGUUCGGAAGGCUAAGAAGGAUUCCGCGUUUGGAAUGCUGUGAGGGUAGUUGGGAAAUGAUGAUUCUGGUGAUUUUGUUAAACAAGCUAAAUUGGAGUGUACAGGUGAUUCAAUUUCAGCUGAAUGAAGGAAACUAGGAGCAGCAGGGCAAAGUUUGUUUCAGGACUCAGGCAUCCACUUCAACCUCUUACUGUUGUUAUGUUCCUUCCUAGUUCGUUAGUUCAUUGACAGUUAUAAAACUAUCAACAAAUCAUAACUAAAUUCUGCUGUGCUCAUAAUUAAUCAUUGUAAUUUGACUAUUCAGAUCAGAAUUUCAUUUCAUGAAUAUAUGAAGAAUUGAUUUUACGAUUCUCUCAA